GCAGAGUAGGCACGCAUGUGUGAAAUAGUGCCGGAAAAACGGGGAGUUGUUUUCCGGACGAAAGGGCAGGAGCCUUGCAGUGUGCGCGCCGCAUCCCGCUGC
rnacentral:ncRNA from 1 species